GCACACUGCAGGCGCUUUGAACCAGAGCAAAGGUAACGUUACGAUUUAAAGAAUAUGCUUUUAUUCUUGUAUAAGGAAAUAGAUACGUUAAUAGAUCCGAGCUUAAACCCGCACAUUUUGUUUUCACAGACUAACGUCGCCUCAUAACGAAGCCGUGACCUCCUAACUUAUUUUGUUGUCGCUAUUUUAGCAAGUCCACAUUUAACUGCUGAGAAUGACGACAUUGUUUCUGCCUGUAAGACGUAUUAUGAGUCGGUUCGCCGGAGCUUCAGAUACAAACAACCUGAACUCGCAUCGCAGGCGGAAAAUGCGAAAAGUUUAGCUCGGAGUCGAUCCAGAAGAAAAAGGUUGCUGGAAGCGAGACGAAGUGCGCUGGCUGAGGGUGAGAUGGACAUUUGGAAGUGCGCCACCAUAGAUCUCAUGUCUGGUGAAGACGGCAUUGUUGACGGGGUGUCUGGAUGGAUUGUGCGGCCACCGCCCUCUCGCAGCCUGGAACUCUCCGAGCUCUGUGCCACGCUGCAAUUCAGAUUAGAGGCGAUACCAAAGUACAGGGGAACUCACCAUAUAUGCCUGCAAAAGCGACUUUUUUACGUUUUUGAGUUUUU